UGAAAGCAUCAUAAGACAGAAAGCUACAUCUUCCUCUGCUGUUGUAUCAGAGAUUGAACUCACUGGUUCAGCCUCAGCCCAUGAUUCGGUCUUACUAAAUUUGCUAAAAUUAAUCUUCUUUAUAUUGCUCUCUUGCUCUUGUCUAUGCUGUUGAUAUGGGUGUUCUAAAAGUUUUCGAGUCCGUUUAGAUCGUCUUCGAGUUGGGUUCUUGGAGGACUCAGUCUCGCUUUCUCUAUCUUGAAGAACAGAGGCAGCAUCGGCAGCAAAAGAGAACUCAGGAUCUACCAAUCGAAUACUUCUCUUGGGAUUCUCUCUCAACCCAU
rnacentral:misc_RNA from 1 species